UAAGAGAAAAAAAUCAAGAGUGAGAAAAUAGUCUUCUAAAGUUUUUUGUUCAUAAAGUUCUUAGUUUGUUCAUCAAAACAAAAAAAAAAAGAGUGUGUAGUGUAUAUUAGUCUUUUAUUUCUUCAUUCCGAUAGUUGUCAGCCUUCAGAGGACUCCCGAAAGGAAAACCUUACUUCUUCCUUAAAACAUUUUCGUGCAGCAAUCCAAUUGCAAUUUGAUUUUCAUAGGGCAAUCUACAACCUUGAAACUGUUUUGUAUUGGUUAAAGGAGGACAUGUCAAGAACAGGGAAAGCUGUUAAUACUAAAGAGAUUUCUCCAAAUGAGUUGUACAGCCAGGCUUCGAUUUACAUUGGAACUUUGAUUUGAUGAGAAACAAUGAACUUUCAGCGUUUUA